rnacentral:rRNA from 1 species
AGUGAACGCUGGCGGUAGGCCUAACACAUGCAAGUCGAACGGCAGCACAGUAAGAGCUUGCUCUUACGGGUGGCGAGUGGCGGACGGGUGAGGAAUACAUCGGAAUCUACUUUUUCGUGGGGGAUAACGUAGGGAAACUUACGCUAAUACCGCAUACGACCUACGGGUGAAAGCAGGGGAUCUUCGGACCUUGCGCGAUUGAAUGAGCCGAUGUCGGAUUAGCUAGUUGGCGGGGUAAAGGCCCACCAAGGCGACGAUCCGUAGCUGGUCCGAGAGGAUGAUCAGCCACACUGGAACUGAGACACGGUCCAGACUCCUACGGGAGGCAGCAGUGGUGAAUAUUGGACAAUGGGCGCAAGCCUGAUCCAGCCAUACCGCGUGGGUGAAGAAGGCCUUCGGGUUGUAAAGCCCUUUUGUUGGGAAAGAAAAGCAGCAGGUUAAUACCCCGCUGUUCUGACGGUACCCAAAGAAUAAGCACCGGCUAACUUCGUG